rnacentral:tRNA from 1 species
GGAGGGGUGGCCGAGUGGCUGAAGGCGCACGCUUGGAAAGCGUGUAGGCGGUAACACGUCUCGCGGGUUCGAAUCCCGCUCCCUCCGCCA